UUUAGGCCCUUCUUUUAAAUAUUUUACGUGGUAACUGUAGGUAUGCAGUAAGUAAAUAAUCUGUAUUUCAGGGUCCAUAGAGUGUGUGGAACUAAAAAACCUUAAUUUACUAUGCUGAAAAUGAUCUACGAAACCCCCCCUACAAUGUAUUGAGCAUAAUGCCUUACCACCACGCCACCGUGGACCCAAUCGUGGCUGGUCGAGUACUAGUAUAUGAUUUAAUUUUGUCACUAAUGAUUUCACGGCAAUCAUUAACCGAUUUAAGGCUGCAUGAAACAACAUCAAGCAGUGCGAAAUGUUCGCAACAAGGACUCCUAGAGUCAGCAGCAAGUGACACAACAACUGCCAUACUCGCUGAUCAGAGCUCGGACAAGUGGGACUGCCUCUCAGUCACGCCUCCCGUCACGAUGUCCACUUCAUUCAAACAACCAGGCCCUAGUCAAUCUAAGGCCUGUGUUUAUUCAAAAGCAGGAAAUCCAUCGAGGAAUACUUUGGAAGGCUGUUUUGCAGCAUUAGAAGGAGCAAAACAUUGCUUUACUUUCGCUUCUGGCAUGGGAGCAAUCACCACCGCCAUCUUGCUCCUCAAAAAAGGCCAGCAUAUGGUUGUAAUGAACGACGUCGACGGCGCAACACGUAGCCUUUUUAGUAAAAGUAACAAAAUGGACAUUGAAGUAACAUUUACGGAUUUAUCAGUCCCUGGAAAUUUAGAGAAAUCCAUCAAAUCAAAUACUAAGAUGGUUUUCUUUGAGACGCCAACAAACCCCGUCCUGAAAGUUAUUGACAUUGCUGCGGUCGCCAAAGCAGCUAAAAGUCGUGGUGAUAUAAUAGUCGUCGUGGAUAACACAUUCCUUACACCUUACUUGCAAAAGCCUUUGAAAUUCGGCGCCGACGUAGUUCUGUACUCUAUAACAAAGUAUUUAACUGGCCUCACUGAUGUUGUGAUGGGUGCAAUCCUUGUUAACGAUGACAUAAUAGCGGAUAAGCUUAAACAUUUACAAUGCGUGGCGGGAAUCGUGCCGUCUCCGUUCGAUUGUUAUAUGGUUAACAGAAGUUUGAAAACAUUGCCUUUGCGUAUGGAGCGGCACAAGGAGUCAGCCUUGCUUGUAGCUGGCUGGUUAGAUAUGCAUCCUAAGAUUGUUGAAGUACUGCACCCAGGGCUUCCGACGCACCCGAAUCAUGACCUUGGCAGAAGGCAAAUGAGUGGUCAUUCGGGAGUCUUUAGUUUUAGGCAUUGCGGUGGUCUAAAAGAGUCGAAGAAGUUUUUAUACGCUCUCAAAGUUUUUACUCUGUCUGUGAGUUUGGGAGGAUAUGAGAGCUUGGCGGAAAUACCGUGAGUGUUAGACUUUUCUCUCACACACCUAGAAUGUCGGGGUUAAUUGAUAGUAAUAGAUCGUUGAUGACGCAUGCCUUCAUCCCGGAAAAAGAAAGGCUUGCGCUUGGUAUUACAAAUUCGCUCGUAAGGAUUUCAGUAGGCUUGGAAG
rnacentral:misc_RNA from 1 species